UACGUAGGGGGCUAGCGUUGUCCGGAUUUAUUGGGCGUAAAGAGCUCGUAGGCGGUCUGUUGCGUCUGCUGUGAAAACCCGGGGCUUAACCCCUGGCUUGCAGUGGAUACGGACAGACUAGAGGUAGGUAGGGGAGAAUGGAAUUCCCGGUGUAGCGGUGAAAUGCGCAGAUAUCGGGAGGAACACCGGUGGCGAAGGCGGUUCUCUGGGCCUUACCUGACGCUGAGGAGCGAAAGCGUGGGGAGCGAACAGG
rnacentral:rRNA from 1 species